rnacentral:rRNA from 1 species
CCUACGGGGGGCUGCAGUGAGGAAUAUUCCUCAAUGGCCGAAAGGCUGAAGGAGCGACGCCGCGUGUAUGAAGAAGCCCUUCGGGGUGUAAAUUGCUUUUAACUGGGAAGAAUUUAUGACGGUACCAGUUGAAUAAGGGGCUGCUAACCUCGUGCCAGCAGCAGCGGUAAUACGAGGGCCCCAAGCAUUAUCCGGAUUUAUUGGGCGUAAAGCGUCCGCAGACGGUUGAUCACAUCUUCUGUUAAAUCUUCAGGCUUAACCUGAGGGCCGCGGGAGAGAUGGGUCGACUAGAGACUGGAAGAGGCAAGCAGAAUUGCUGGUGUAGGGGUUAAAUCCGUUAAUAUCAGCAAGAAUACUAAAUGCGAAGGCAGCUUGCUAGGACAGUUCUGACGUUCAGGGACGAAAGCGUGGGGAGCGAAUGGGAUUAGAUACCCCAGUAGUC